rnacentral:rRNA from 1 species
AGAGUUUGAUCCUGGCUCAGGACGAACGCUGGCGGCGCGCCUAACACAUGCAAGUCGAACGGAGUCAAGAGGAGCUUGCUUUUCUUGACUUAGUGGCGAACGGGUGAGUAACGCGUGAGUAACCUGCCCUGGAGUGGGGGACAACAGUUGGAAACGACUGCUAAUACCGCAUAAGCCCACGAUCCGGCAUCGGAUUGAGGGAAAAGGAUUUAUUCGCUUCAGGAUGGACUCGCGUCCAAUUAGCUAGUUGGUGAGGUAACGGCCCACCAAGGCGACGAUUGGUAGCCGGACUGAGAGGUUGAACGGCCACAUUGGGACUGAGACACGGCCCAGACUCCUACGGGAGGCAGCAGUGGGGGAUAUUGCACAAUGGGGGAAACCCUGAUGCAGCGACGCCGCGUGGAGGAAGAAGGUUUUCGGAUUGUAAACUCCUGUCGUUAGGGACGAUAAUGACGGUACCUAACAAGAAAGCACCGGCUAACUACGUGCCAGCAGCCGCGGUAAAACGUAGGGUGCAAGCGUUGUCCGGAAUUACUGGGUGUAAAGGGAGCGCAGGCGGACCGGCAAGUUGGAAGUGAAAACUAUGGGCUCAACCCAUAAAUUGCUUUCAAAACUGCUGGCCUUGAGUAGUGCAGAGGUAGGUGGAAUUCCCGGUGUAGCGGUGGAAUGCGUAGAUAUCGGGAGGAACACCAGUGGCGAAGGCGACCUACUGGGCACCAACUGACGCUGAGGCUCGAAAGCAUGGGUAGCAAACAGGAUUAGAUACCCUGGUAGUCCAUGCCGUAAACGAUGAUUACUAGGUGUUGGAGGAUUGACCCCUUCAGUGCCGCAGUUAACACAAUAAGUAAUCCACCUGGGGAGUACGACCGCAAGGUUGAAACUCAAAGGAAUUGACGGGGGCCCGCACAAGCAGUGGAGUAUGUGGUUUAAUUCGAAGCAACGCGAAGAACCUUACCAGGUCUUGACAUCCGAUGCAUAGCGCAGAGAUGCGUGAAGUCCUUCGGGACAUCGAGACAGGUGGUGCAUGGUUGUCGUCAGCUCGUGUCGUGAGAUGUUGGGUUAAGUCCCGCAACGAGCGC